rnacentral:rRNA from 1 species
UAGGGAAUUUUUCACAAUGGGCGAAAGCCUGAUGGAGCAAUGCCGCGUGACUGAUGAAGGUCUUCGGAUUGUAAAGGUCUGUUGUAAGGGAAGAAGUGCUAGAAUAGGAAAUGAUUUUAGUAUCGACCAUACCUUACCAGAAAGCCACGGCUAACUAUGUGCCAGCAGCCGCGGUAAUACAUAGGUGGCAAGCGUUAUCCGGAUUUAUUGGGCGUAAAGCGUGCGUAGACGGUUUUGCAAGUCUGAGGUUAAAUUUAGGGGCUCAACCCCUAACCGCCUUGGAAACUACAUUACUAGAGUAUAGGAGAGGUUAGUGGAAUUUCAUGUGUAGCGGUGGAAUGCGUAGAUAUAUGAAGGAACACCAGUGGCGAAGGCGGCUAACUGGCCUAUUACUGACGUUGUGGCACGAAAGCGUGGGGAGCAAAUAGG